rnacentral:rRNA from 1 species
UACAGAGGGUGCGAGCGUUGUUCGGAAUUAUUGGGCGUAAAGGGCGCGUAGGCGGCGCCACAAGUCACUUGUGAAAACUCUGGGCUCAACUCAGAGCCUGCAAGCGAAACUGUGGUGCUGGAGUAUGGGAGAGGUGCGUGGAAUUCCCGGUGUAGCGGUGAAAUGCGUAGAUAUCAGGAGGAACACCGGUGGCGAAGGCGGGGUCUCUGGGCAUUAACUGACGUGAGGAGCGAAAGCAUGGGGGAGCGA